AGAGAGUGGAGAGGGAGUCGGGAUUUUGGGAAGCUCAUGGGGUGGGGGAAGGGGGAAGAUAAACCUGGAUUAAGAUUUUGUUUGUUUGUUUCUGUUAAAUAAACAAGCUGCAAAAUAAACCAAGUUUGUUUUCCCUACUCCUCCCAUCCCAUCCGUUUCCCUAAUUUUCCUCCCUCUCCUCCUCUUC
rnacentral:pre_miRNA from 1 species